CGGCCAGCGCUGGCCGGAGGAUUCCCAUUCAUUCACCCUUCUGCUCCUCCGCCCAGUACUUGUGGCCAGGGUCGUAUCAGUUCUCCGUCAACUUGCUUGGGGCCUUGGACGAGCCUCCUGGCCCUUCCUGUCAGUGGCGAAACGGUUUUCUCCCUCAAUUCUUUUCCUGACUUCAAACCGCCCCGGGCGCUCGGCCCCUCCCCCACGCGGUCCCGCUGGCUGCACCGGACUCGCAGCCUCUCCGUUUCCCACUGCGCCUGCUGCUGCGCGGGUGCCCAAGCCGGGAAAUUCUUCCUGCAGCCCCCUGCCAGUGUUUCUGAUAGCUGCUUUGCUCCCCCUGUGGAUGUAACCCCUUAACUGGCAUUUUGCAUCCCAAUUGGCUUGUGAUGGAGGCGUCUUUGGGGAUUCAGAUGGAUGAGCCAAUGGCUUUUUCUCCCCAGCGUGACCGGUUUCAGGCUGAAGGCUCUUCAAAAAAAAACGAGCAGAAUUUUAAACUUGCAGGUGUUAAAAAAGAUAUUGAGAAGCUUUAUGAAGCUGUACCACAGCUUAGUAAUGUGUUUAAGAUUAAGGACAAAAUUGGAGAAGGCACUUUCAGCUCUGUUUAUUUGGCCACAGCACAGUUACAAGUAGGACCUGAAGAGAAAAUUGCUCUAAAACACUUGAUUCCAACAAGUCAUCCUAUAAGAAUUGCAGCUGAACUUCAGUGCCUAACAGUGGCUGGGUAGGCAA
rnacentral:sRNA from 1 species